AUACUAAGAACUUUCCAGAGAUGGAUUGGUGCCUUCGGGAACUUAGAUACAGGUGCUGCAUGGCUGUCGUCAGCUCGUGUCGUGAGAUGUUGGGUUAAGUCCGCAACGAGCGCAACCCUUUUCCUUAUUUGCCAGCGGGUAAUGCCGGGAACUUUAAGGAUACUGCCAGUGACAAACUGGAGGAAGGCGGGGACGACGUCAAGUCAUCAUGGCCCUUACGGCCAGGGCUACACACGUGCUACAAUGGUCGGUACAAAGGGUUGCUACCUCGCGAGAGGAUGCUAAUCUCAAAAAGCCGAUCGUAGUCCGGAUCGCAGUCUGCAACUCGACUGCGUGAAGUCGGAAUCGCUAAUAAUCGCGGAUCAGAAUGCCGCGGUGAAUACGUUCCCGGGCCUUGUACACACCGCCCGUCACACCAUGGGAGUUUGUUGCACCAGAAGUAGGUAGUCUAACCGCAAGGAGGACGCUUACCACGGUGUGGCCGAUGACUGGGGUGAAGUCGUAACAAGGUAAGCGUAGAUGA
rnacentral:rRNA from 1 species